UACGGAGGGUGCGAGCGUUGUCCGGAAUCACUGGGCGUAAAGGGCGCGUAGGUGGCGCGGGAAGUCCGUGGUGAAAGCCCGAGGCUCAACUUCGGGUCGGCCAUGGAUACUCCUGGGCUUGAGCACUGUAGAGGCAGGUGGAAUUCCGGGUGUAGCGGUGGAAUGCGUAGAGAUCCGGAAGAACACCGGUGGCGAAGGCGGCCUGCUGGGCAGUAGCUGACGCUGAGGCGCGACAGCGUGGGGAGCAAACAGG
rnacentral:rRNA from 1 species